AGCAAGGGUCCUCUGUCCACCAUGGCGCCGGCGAGAGGGCAGGCGGGCCGGGAAGGCAGCCCCACGCUGCAGCUCUAGGUCUAGCGGAGUUCCUCGCUUUCGGCAGUGAAAAGCGAUGAAGACGAGCUGCGCCUUUCCUGGAUGCAGUGAAGUCUGGGAAGGCAGGCGAGCAGGACCUCUGUGGAGAGAAGCUGGGGGAUCAUUCUCUGAGCUGUUCUCCAUACAUUUGCAGUACAAAUCCUUCACACCAGGAGCUGUGUCUGCCUUUCUUCAUGCAUUUUGUAUGUUCAGUAAACCUAACUACGCGCA